UACGUAGGGCGCAAGCGUUGUCCGGAAUUAUUGGGCGUAAAGAGCUCGUAGGCGGUCUGUCGCGUCGGCUGUGAAAACCCGAGGCUCAACCUCGGGCCUGCAGUCGAUACGGGCAGACUAGAGUGCUGUAGGGGAGACUGGAAUUCCUGGUGUAGCGGUGAAAUGCGCAGAUAUCAGGAGGAACACCGGUGGCGAAGGCGGGUCUCUGGGCUGACACUGACGCUCAUGCACGAAAGCGUGGGGAGCAAACAGG
rnacentral:rRNA from 1 species